CCUACGGGUGGCAGCAGUGAGGAAUAUUGGUCAAUGGACGAGAGUCUGAACCAGCCAAGUAGCGUGAAGGAUGACUGCCCUAUGGGUUGUAAACUUCUUUUAUAUGGGAAUAAAAUGUUCCACGUGUGGGAUUUUGUAUGUACCCUAUGAAUAAGGAUCGGCUAACUCCGUGCCAGCAGCCGCGGUAAUACGGAGGAUCCGAUCGUUAUCCGGAUUUAUUGGGUUUAAAGGGAGCGUAGGUGGAUUGUUAAGUCAGUUGUGAAAGUUUGCGGCCAAACCGUAAAAUUGCAGUUGAAACUGGCAGUCUUGAGUACAGUAGAGGUGGGCGGAAUUCGUGGUGUAGCGGUGAAAUGCUUAGAUAUCACGAAGAACUCCGAUUGCGAAGGCAGUUCACUGGACUGCAACUGACACUGAGGCUCGAAAGUGUGGGUAUCAAACAGGAUUAGAUACCCCGGUAGUC
rnacentral:rRNA from 1 species